AAAGAGUGUGAGUUUAAGAAGUGGAGUGAGAGCGAUAGAGCGAGCGAGCGAUAGAGCGAGCGAGCGAGCAGCAAGGUGCGUAUCGUACGCAACGCAAGUUACUUUAGUCGUCGUCGGGAUCGUAAAUGAAAUGCGCGUGGUGUGUAUAUAAUAUUAAGAAGAGACCAAAAAACAAAAACAAAAACACAAGUCUGUAGCCGCCCUUUCUUGCCAAAAAACUGAUAUAUAAUAACUAUCAUUUUUACUACGUUUGUUUAUCGUCGUCGUAGUCGUCGUUGUGAUCAUCAUCAUCAUCAUCAUCAGCAUUAGCAUCAUCAUCAUCAUUAGCAUCAUCAUCAUCAUUAUUAUCAUCGUCGUCGUCACAGUUUUAACAUCGUUAUCGUCUUCGUUGUUGUUGCUGUUGCUGUUGUAGUUGUUGUUGUUGUCUGUCACCAGUAACCACAGUAUUUUAAACCUUUUUUACUAAAACACUAACGAACGGCUCAAACCAACGUUCUUUUAACAAAACUCCAUCGCCAGCCGCCGCCACCGCCGCCAUCUUUACUACUACUACUACUACUACUACUACUACUACUACCACUACCACCGCCACUACCUUCGCCACCACCCAACUACCGCCGCCACUGUCGCUGCCAAAUUAAGGACUUAGCCGGGACUCCACCACCAUCACCAACACCAACACCAACAACAAUAACAAUAUCACUACGACCACCACCACCACCACCACCACCAUCACCACCACCAUCAUCAUCAUCAUCAUCAUCCUCAUUCACCGUCGUCAUCUUUGUCCACAAAUCAUCACCUUCGCUGCCACCAAUUUACGGACAGUAAACCAGCGCCGCUUGCUACCACCACCACCACCACCACCACCACCACCACCAUCACCAUCACCACCACCACCACCACCACCACCACCACCACCACCACCAUCACCACCACCAUCAUCACCAUUAUCAUCAUCACUACCAACAACAUCAACAAUAAUAACAACACUAUAAACAUUGCGACCACCACUAUCACACUAACUCGUUACUGCAGCGGGGUUGGUUCGCUGAUACUUUAAAAAUAAACAAAGAGAAGGAAUAAAAGAAAAAAAGACAGAAAAGAAGAAGAAAAAAAAAGAAAACAUCGUCCAUCUUUCUCUCCAGACAUCCCCUCCUUCCUCCACCUCCAACAGUACCGCCUCCGCCGCCACCACCCCAACCAGCACCAUCAUCACCAUCAUCAUCGUCAUCGUCAUCAUCACCACAAACAACACGUUAUAGUAAAAUAACAACAGCAACAAUUAACAGAACAACUGAGAGAGAAAGCCACAACUUCGCAGUCAGUCAGUCACCUCUUACCGUUAACCACCACCACCACCACCACAACCACCACAACCACCACCAACACCAUACCUCACCACUUAUGCCACGGCCGUUACAACAAUACCUACUACUACAACUACCAGUGUUACACCAACAACAACAACAAAAACAACAAUAAUAAUAAUAUAAAUAAUAAUGAUAAUGAUAACAAUAAUGAAAAUAAUGAUGAUAAUGAUAAUAAUAAAUAAAUAAAAUAUUGUCGCGGCUGGGUGUUUUUUUUUUCUUUUUACCAGUUCCGCGACCACAGUGAGCGAAACCGGCAGUAGGAUCAUCACUACCAACAACAAUAACAACAACAACAACAACUACAAGAGCAACAGCAACAGUAGUAGUAGUAGUAUUAGAAGCUGCACCAGCAUCAUUAUCGUCAUCAUCAUCAUCAUCACCAUCAACGCAAAGACGCUAUCAACAACCACUGCCAAAAUUUUCGUAGACGUCUCCGGUUUGUUUGGCUAUCAUUUCCGUCACAAUUACAUUUUUUUUGUUGGUUUUUUUUUUUGUUGCUGUUUCUUCGGCAGUCUGGACUCCAUCGAUCCAUCCGUCUUUAUAUACCCAUCAUCCAUCCAUCCAUCCAUCCAUCCAUCCACCCAUCGAUCCAUCCAUCCAUCCAUUUAUCCAACUGAUUACAUCCAUCCAACUUUUUUUUUUAAUAUAUAUAUAUAUAUAUAUAUAUAUAUAUAUAUUAUAUAUAUAUAUCAACCCAUCCGUACCUACCUAAACCAAAAGAAAACAAAAAAAAAACAACAAAAAAUCCAGCCUAACAAACCUUAUCCAACUAUCCGACUGACCACCUAAUACAAAUCUACCCCCUAUCAAACCGACAAUCCAUCCAAACAUCCAGCCAGCCAGCCAGCGAGCCAACUAACCGACCAGCCAACCAACCAACCAACCAACCAGCCAGCCAGCCAGCCAACCAGCCAGCCAGCCAGCCAACCAGCUUGCCAGUUUGCCAUCCGACAAUCAGUCUUUCCAUUCAUCUAUCCAUCACUCCAGCCAGUUAGCUUGCCAUCCAACCGGGCCCAAGGAACAGUAGGUGGUCCAGCCUUUGCUUACCUCUCUACUUUUCAACCCCACUAUUUCUUUCAUUCGAGUACUUUUUUUUUCUUUUUACCAACCGUCCCUUGUUCCAUUCUUAUUCUUAUUUAAACAUUUUACCUAAUUCCCUUACCUUACCUAACCUGCCUGCCUACCUACCUACCUACCUACCUACCUGCCUACCUACCUACCUACCUGCCUACCUACCUACCUACCUAUCUACCUACUUACCUACCUAUCUUUAUAUAUAUAUAUAUAUAUAUAUAUAAUUAUUCAUUUAAUACAUUUAAUACAUUUAAUUACAUUUAAUUCAUUAAUAGCGAAACAAUUGUCCCAAGAUAAUCUGUAUUUUUGUUAUUUUUUAUUUGCCCUGUCCGUGUGAGCUAACAGUCGUACCGGCUUUCAUGGGAAACAUGUAUUUUUCGUGGUUGAAACCUCUUGGAUUAACUGGUGCUAGAGUGAUCAAUAUAGUGAACACUCUCUUAUAUUUAUUUUAUAUAUAUAUAUAUAUAUAUAUAUAUAUAUAUAUAUAUAUAUAUAAUCUACCCACCUAUCUUAUCUGUCUGUCUAUCUAUUUGCAGCGGGUGCCGUGUCGUGUGAGACGAUUCAGCGAUCGGUUGUAGUUUCAUUCGAAUGCCGGUAUGAGAUUUUUUUUUUAGAUCGAGCGAGCGGGAUUUUGAAAACAUUUAUUAAAACUUCUUGACAAAGGCUUGAUUGAACAUCACCACAUCUCAUAGACCUUUUAUCAAAAGUUACAUGUUUAAAAGUAAAGCAAAAACACACAAAAAAAAAAAAGCAAAGGAAAAGAAAGAAAUGAAAAGAAAACGAAAGGAAAACAACGGGAAAGUAAAGGAAAAGAGGAAAUAUUCUAGUUAUAAAUCUCCAUCUGUCUAAAUAGAUUGAUAGCUAAAAUCAAUGUGACCGUUGCGUGCGUAAACAUACUUUUGGAUGAGAGGAGUUUCCGUUUAUAUUUUCUAUUUUAUUAUUUUAUUCUGGUGUGGUGUUUGUUGUUGGUUUUCUUUUUGUUUUCUACCCGAUAUUACAAACAAACUCAAGAAACGGGUGGAAAUAUAUAGACACACACAUACAGGACACACGCAAAUAUAUAUCCAUCAGCAUUUCCUUCUUUCCCGCCCUUCUCUUUAUGGGUCUGUUUUCUGUUUUUCUUUCUAUCUUGAACGAAAAUCCCAAACCAGCGCGGCGAAAACUAACACGCACGCACACACACACACACACACACACACACACACACACGCACGCACACGCAAACACACUCGCACACGCAUAUAUAUAAAUAUAACACUUAUGCAUACACACACACACACACACACGGACAAUACGUAUAACUACAUAGAUAUGUGCUUUUUCACUCAAUCAGAAACACACGCUCAGUAAUAUUAAUAAUAUAGUUAGUCAUCAUCAUCAUCGUCAUCAUCGUCGUCAUCGUCAUCAUCAUCAUCAUCAUCACCACCACCACCACCACCACCACCACUACUACCACCACCAUCAUCAUCAUCAUCGCUAUCAUAAUAAUAACAAAAGAACAAACCACAUAACUUCGAUUGCUGAUUCUUCCUCCCGCUAUUUCUGCUUACAUUCUCUCUCUCUCUCUCCUUUUAUUCUUCUCUUAUUCCCUUCUCCUUUCUCUCUCUCUCUCCUUUUCUCUCUUCCGUCUGGACUUGUUAACAGUAAAAAAAAAAAAGUUCUAUAAUAUCUUCGUUGUUUUCUUUCAUUCUCCUCUUUCUUUCUACUCUUGUUGUGUGAACCGAAUUUUUAGCGAACCCGGUUUCGAUUCUCACUUUGGAACCACCGCUAACCAAUUCAUUCAUCACCACUUGGUCGCGACCAAGUUGCUGUGGAUGAUUUUAAGCAUCAAUUAGAAGGGGAGGGGAAAAACGAAAAGCCAUUAACAUCACAACAGCAUCUCGCAUACCGUCACUUGUGUAAGAAACGUCGAAAGCCUCAUUAUUUUGCUAAUUGUUACACAAUUAAGUCACAUUACUUUUUACUCACUGUAAGAUAAUGAUAAAACGACCGCAGCUAAUGUUGUAACUAGUAGUAGUAGUAGUAGUAGUAGCAGUAGUAGUAGUAGUAGUAGUAGUAGUGGUGGUGGUGGUGGUGGUGUCGACUACAGAUCCUUAUUUUAACUUCCAAAACUCCGUGCAUCUCACAAAACUAUUGUUGCAUUCCUUUCGAGUAAACUGCUUCACGUGUAGUCGUUUCAAAAAGUAAAGAUAGACAGACAGACAGACAGAUAAACAGAUAGAUAGAUAGAUAGAUAGAUAGAUAGAUAGAUAGAUAGAUAGAUAGAUAGAUAGAUAGAUAGAUAGAUAGAUAAUGUGUGGGAGGAGACAGUGUGGUGAAGAUAAGAGAAGAGAAGGAAAUAUAUAUAGAGAAGAGCGAAAGUAAUAAGAGAUAAACAAAUGUAUCUAGAGAUAGUGAGAACGAGAUAGAAAGUGAAAAAUAGUCAGACAACGGAAAAGUGAAAGAGAGAGUAUAGAUAAAAGAAGAGACAGAGAGAGAGUAAAUGAAUCUGAGAGAGGGGGAGUGGAAAGGACUGUUGCAGCAGAUUGAUAGACUGAAAGAGAGGAAAAGAGAAAGAGCGAUAGGUAUAGACUGGGGAAAGGGGGGCAGGAAGAAGCAUAAAAAGAAUAGGAAAGGAAGAAGAGAGGGAGAACAGACUGCGCAAGACAGAGUGAGAGAGAGAGAGUGUGAAAGAGAGAGAGAAGGCCAGAUAAAUAGAAAGUGGGUGAGAGAGAGAGGAGUGAGAAAGAAAGGAUAACGGUGUAAUUAUAUGAAAUAAGUAUGAAUGAUAAAGAGAGUGAUUGAAAAGGGUCAGUCAGAAAGAAAAAGGAAGACUAACAUUAAGUAAUAGAGAGGGAGAAAAAGAAAAGGAUGUAUAUGUAUAGGAGUGCGCACGUACACAAGUAUAAUAAAGGUGACAAAGAGAAAAAGAGGGGAAAGGAGACAAAUAGAGGGUAAAAGGCGGAAGAGAGAAAGAAAGUGAGUAAACGGUUAAGUAGAGGUAAGAGAGAAAGAAAGUAUAUAAAUAGUUAAGUGGAAAGAGAGAGAAAAGGAGAUAGAAAGAGAGAGAGAGAGAGAGUUGCUAAAUAGUUCAAUGGACGAGAGAAGAGGAGAAAAAGAAAGUAAGAAAAGGAAGGAGGGAAAGUAAGAGAGAAUAAAAAGCGAGAGCGAGACAGAAGGCGGUGAGGGUUUGUAUAUCUGUAAGUGUGUCCUAUGUAUACGUCUAUCUUUAUAUAAAUAUAUAUAUAUAUAUAUAUGUAUAUGUGUGUGUGUAUAUAUUUAUGUGGGUGUGUGAGUGUGUAUGCGCACGCGUGUCAGUCGUAUACGUAUACAUAGAUAUAUUGCGAUGUGUGUGUGUGUGUGUGUGUGUAUGUUAAUCUAUGUAUGUGUGUCGCUGGAGUACAUAACCACGCAGUUCUCUCUCUCUCACUCUCUCCUCCCCCCUCUCUCUCUAUCAGUCUUGCUUUUAACUAAAAGUCGUCGUUCUCUGAAAAUUUUUAACCUAACGCAGACGACAGUUUUUUUUCAAUGUUGUCUGUGUUUUUUUUUAACUGUUAAGUUUUAAAAGAAGAGAAAAAUUUUUUCGAGAAGAAACAAGGAAAAACUAAUAUUAGACACAUAUCAAACAAAUUUUUUUUCUCUCUGUGUAUUCUUUUUUCUUCUUUUUUCUUUUCUUGCAGUUUGUGGUGUGUGUGUGUGAGAGAAAAAGAAAAGUAGAAACAACAACGACGACGACGAGAGAGAGAGAAGGAGAGACGACGACACCGUUGUCGAAAAAGGAAAAAUAUAUAGCAACAAUCACCACCACAAUCUCCGGUCUCCAUCUCCUCCCAGGAAUCUAAACGUAACCAAGAAAACAAGUUGUAAUAAUUUCACUUAAAACAAUUUCUGGAAAACAAUUACCACAAGUUCUUAUUAACAAGGAGCUGAUAACGACUUUGAAGGAUAUACCUAUACACACACACAUAUAUAUAUAUAUAUAUACAAAUAUAUAUAUAUACAAAUAAUUUUACACACACGCAUUACAUUUAUAUACAAAUAUUCAUAUAUAUAUAUAUUUAUAAAUAUAUAUAUAUAGCUUUAUAUAAUAAUAUACAUACACACACGAACAUACCAACUUUAGUGAAGUAAAAAAAAAAGCAACAACAUUAUCAUCACCCCUAUUCAACUUAUAUAUAUACAUACAUAUAUAUAUACGCACCUAUAUAUACAUAUAUAUACACUCAUGUAGGCUACGUAUGAGUAUAUAUGUGUAUAUAUUAUAUACACACGUACGCUUGAAAACGAAGGGUAAAAGAGAGAAAGUGUUUAUGUGAGAGGGGAGAGAGAGAGAAAGAUAUACAAACAGCAUCAAACUACAUAAAAGGAGUAUAUAUAUAAUAUAUAUAUAUAUAUAUACAUACAUCUUUAUAUACAUACAAGCACAACAAAAUUCUUUUUAACCAGGAUCAAAAUUAUUAUUAUUAAUUAUUAUUACUACUCAGUAAAAGAAAUUACAGAAGGAAUACAUAUAUAUACAUAUAUAUAUAUAUACACCAAAAAAAUAAAGAAGCAUUAUGAAAAUGCCGGUGUCUGAUAGUAAUAAUAAUAAUCACAAUAAUAAUAAUAAUAAUAAUAAUCAUUACUAUCAUUAUCGUUCAAAUUGUAACCGAAUGUGGUCACUCGGUCUCCCUUGGAUUCUUCUCAUUUUCUACAAUACAUGGAUAGGAAACAUUUUCACGGAUGCCAAACCUAACUGGAUUAAGCAUACACUUUAUUGGAACAAGACAAACACAAUGUAAGUAGUGU
rnacentral:lncRNA from 1 species